UUUAUGGAGAGUUUGAUCCUGGCUCAGGAUGAACGCUGGCGGCGUGCCUAAUACAUGCAAGUCGAGCGAACGGAUGAGAAGCUUGCUUCUCUGAUGUUAGCGGCGGACGGGUGAGUAACACGUGGAUAACCUACCUAUAAGACUGGGAUAACUUCGGGAAACCGGAGCUAAUACCGGAUAAUAUUUUGAACCGCAUGGUUCAAAAGUGAAAGACGGUCUUGCUGUCACUUAUAGAUGGAUCCGCGCUGCAUUAGCUAGUUGGUAAGGUAACGGCUU
rnacentral:rRNA from 1 species